GGAGGUGUAGCUCAGAUGGUGGAGCGCUCGCUUAGCACGUGAGAGGUACGGGGAUCAAUAACCCGCGCCUCCA